AUAAAACAUUUAAUGAAUUAUAUACUUAUUUUAUGUCCUUGUUUCUAAUCCACAGAACAUAGAAAUAAGCUUUAUUUUAAAAAACCUGUCCAAUUUUUGCUAACAUAUGAUUUUUCUUUAACAUCAGCUAAAAAGAGAGGAAGUGUCAGUUCAUAAAAUGUGGAGCUACCACAGAAUUUCGGUAGCAGGUCACUCACCACUAACAAGUACUUCAGCACUUCGCAGGGCUCUGAGUAGCCAUAGAAUGUGCUGUGGACAGGGUCCACAGCAAUAAAUUAGGGUGGAAGAAUGUUUUCUUGAACUUUACAAAGAGGAAGCUGCUUUAGUGAUACAUAAAAAAAUGUAUCUGUUCCUAAGCUGGAUUUUGGCUUGUACUAUACAUAGUACAUAUACAUACUAUACAUUCUGAAAAACUAAUCCUUCAAGAUACUGGUGAUGUGAUGGUGACUUUAUUCCAUAAAUACCAGAUUAAAUCCUGUCCUAUGCACUGAAUUAUCCAGCCAGUUAAAGUAUGGUAGGGAAGGAGUGGAGAGAUGAUAGAUGCAAUACUGGACUGUACAUCAUUCAGCUACUCCUUCCAGUACAUGUGAACCUUUUUUUAAAUAAUGUGAGAGUUUGUUGGGGAUUUUACUCAAAUGUGACCAUCCUACUUCUCAAACAACUUGGUUCUGACAGGAACUUUGUUCUGACAGAUUCUUUUUGAAGGGGGAUGUCUUAGCUGAAUGGGCUUCAGGGUACCUUCCUGUGACAAUGACUUUAGGGGCCACAUGCUGGCUGGCUGAGCCAGUAACAUUGUGCUUUCCUGUGCUCAGUAGGAGUGCAAGACUCUGAACCAAGUUGAGGUGGAUGGAGGAUAUCAAAGACCUGGAAAUGUGGAGGAAUGUGCUGAAGAUAAGGCUACAUUAAUUCUCAGAACUUUAAGCCUUUGUUAAUACAAGUUGAGCUCUUGGGUUUUGAUGGGAUUUUUUUUGUUGUUUUGUUUUGUUUUGUUUUGUUUUGUUUUUCAGUUUGUUUGGUUAAUUUUUUUUUUUUACCAUCUGCAUCUGUUACUAACCCCAAACAGAGCCACUCAUAUGUAGAGGAGGAAAACUUAAUAUUCAUUGAAAUUUCACUGAGGUACUUCUUGGUAAGUCCAAGAUGUUUACUAAGUAAAUUGGAUAGAAUUUACUAGUGAUUGUUACAGUGAUAGAAUAGAUAGUGAUUGUUACAGGACCCCUUAGAGCAUAUUUUCUAUCUCACUUUUCAUCUCUGAUAAGCAGAUUAUGAAUAUAAGAGUCUGCCUUGUAUUGGGAACUCUGACAGGUGAAAUGUGCUCUCUGUUCAUAGCACAUGCAGGGCCCUGACCUCUCUCAUGCUUUUCAUCCCUCAAACUCUGCUAGAUAAUGCUUAAAGAAAUAUGAAGUGCUUGCUGAGACUCGAAAAUGUGACCAUGGUAGAAGCUGUGGUUCUCUGAGGGGUCUCAUUUAUCUCCAUAUGGACUUUGGUUUUCCUGAAAAGCUAAAAUUUCAGUUUAAGGAUGACCUUGGAAACAGAGGUGUGGGGUGGCUUUUAAAAUUCUCAAGAAGCAUCCAGCAGGACUACAGCUGUGCUAAGGAAAGAAGCCAUCUUCUCUUGGAUUGGACUCCAAACUGACCCAACCAGAGGGAUGGAGAACAACAGUUUUCCUUGGAGAGGUCUGGAUUGCUUCUGGCUGAUCCUGGCUGUGCUGCACUGAUUUUAGGGCCACAGCACAUGGGAGAAGUGAGGACAUGAUUGCCAUCAGCUGGGAUGUGCAGGCCAGAUAAUCUGUGCUCUGAGCAUCUCCUGUCCAGAGCACCCAUCUACCAACAAAUGUGUGCACAGCGCUGCCUCUCAACGUUUGAAACUUCUCCUGUCUCUAAAGGAAAGGCCUCUGCAUCCACAGCAUGUGUGGCAUAGGUGUAAAGGGUGCAAUGGCCUGGUGGGAAUGGCAGCACCAGUGGUGUAACAACUCUGAUACUGGGCUGCCACUCCAGUUGUUCUGGGAUUAACGCUGUUACUGAUCUUAGAACUGUUGAAUGAGUCUUGAAACUCCAUUUAUGCAUAAAUGACUGCUUAAACCUGGUUAUUUCUUGUUUCCUUGUGCAUGUGGCUUUUCUAGGCUGUCUGCUUUUUCCACAGUAACUUCCGAGCCCUGCUUGGGCAGGGGUUGUCACCUCCCAGCAUAGAGGUCAUAGAUCAUAAAGGUAGGUAUCCUCCAGGCAGGGCUGCUGGAUGCUUUCUAAUCUGGCAAUUAGGAAAAACACCCACCACGAGAGAGUUUGCAGCGCUUCACUAAAUAAUUAAUAGAUGUUAAAGUCUCCAGGACUUGGGAAUCACACGGAUGCUGACUUUCCACUAAAUGCUGUAUAGUGUUUAGGUAAAAGGUUAAAAUUAUACCUACUCUAAUAGAAAUCUAUACCUUAACAUGGAGGCAGAAAGACAGACAGAAUUAGUAGCACUGCUUCCUCCUUUAGCAGGAGUCAAGCUGAGAUAGAGAGUUUAUAAAUAUUUUCUUUUUUUGUUUUUUCCUUUCACAUGACUUCUUGUUAGAAGGCUGAAAACAGACUUCUGUUAACUUUUGGUUAUUAAAAUCCAAAGAGCAGUCUGAGAAAGAAAUCGGGGCCUGACAACCCAGCAGGGUAAUGGGAAACUUAAUAAAUAUCCUGUUGUUAUAACAUCUGUCAUUUUAGCAUUAACAAGCUCAUGACUUUAGCUGUUGUAUGAUCCCAGCUCCACUCUGCAGAUUAAGGGAAAGGCUGUUAGACCUUUAAAGUAAAAGACUUCUGCCCCACCAGCACGGUAGUUUAACCUCUUGUAUCCUGAAGAAGUUUAGCUAAAACAGGUUGAAAGUGAUAUAGAGACGGACUCCUGUGGAGGUCAAUUAGGAGGCAUACAGAAGCAGUUGGACUCAAGGAUUUUCCUAAUUUUGUUCUCUUUGAUGUCCAGAAGAACCAGAAAAAAAACCCCACUCCAACCAAGCCCAAAAAUACGUGGUGGGGUUUUGUGGUUUUUUGGGUUUUUAAUUUGGUCCCACUUUGAUUUUCUUAAAAGUUAUAGAGAGAUUUAUUUGGUCACACUUUGAUUUUCUUAAAGGUUAUAGAGAGGAGAUUUAAGAGACUGUCUUAUUAAAUGAAUACACAGCACUGCAGCAAAACUGUGGUAGAUGUCCAUUGCUUGUAAGGCAGUAUGUAUAUGUCAACCACAAACAGAGUGGUAUUUUGGUUCAUUUAAAACAGGCCUAUGUAAGAACCAGAGCAACUGCACAAAUACUGAACUCCAUACAGCAUCUCUCACCACCUGUUUCUGAGAUUUCUUUAGCCUGUUGACUCAUGUUUUUCUUUUCUGGAAGCUGAAGAAAAUGCAUGCCAUGCUGAAAAUGCUCCUGGUUUGGUUUUAAUCUUGGACGAAGUUCAUCCAGAACAGUUCUAUGGUGAUAAUGUUUCUGACUUCUUUAUUUUUUGCUUUUAUGUGUCAGGUGGUGAAAUGAGAGCCCUCCACAAUCUGAAUGCAGCCAGUGCUUCCCUGGUACACAGCUUCUCACGCAGGCAGAAGCAGAGGGGCUGAGAGAAAGAAGUUGUCUUGGUGCUCAUGAGGAGUUCGUAGCAUGUUGGGUGUGAGCAAGAGCUGUGGAGUUCAGCAGAGAGUAAAUCCAUCUUGUCUCAGAUUGCUCACUUGUCCUCCCUCAUUGUCCUCUCUCAGGGCAAGGAAGCACCACAUCCAAGCCACAGCCACCUCCAGGACUGCUGUCAGUCUACAAGUCUACAGAAGUGUCACAAAAAGUAUCAUGGAUCUCAUUGUCUCACGGAACAUAAGGACAAACCACCAUGUUCUCAUGCUGCUUAGAUGGUUUCAGAAAGCCCAGAGGUGUCAGUAGCACUCCCAAGUGCUUCCAAGCCUCUGUGUACUUUAGACAAGUGAUACUGCAUAGAAUGUAGGAUACUUAAAGCAGAUUUGUUUGCUUUCAACAGGAUUGUCUUGAAAAUGCUACUAUUCUGUUUGAGGAAAAAAUCUUAUGUCUACAGCAGAGAUGACAUCUCCUGUGUCAUGACUGGAAAGCCCAGACAUGAUCUGGGGCACUGGGGCACCCAAAGCCCUUGCUCAGGUCUUUCGUAAGUAGAUGGUUUACUUUCUGUACUUUCAAUUUAUAUUCCUUUAAGUGAUGCUAAGGCAAGAAGAGAAAUCCAUACCCUCCCCCCAAAUUUUGAAAACACAAGCACAAACAUUUCAGUAGCUGGUGGUGGUUUCACUGCAGAGACAGACUUGAGCGAUGAUGACUUUAUGUUUCGUAAAACACUUUAACUUCCUGAAAUAGUUAUUUUAAAAAACCUGACUGCAAACCACUUUCCAUUUUGAAAUACUUUCGUAAAUGAAAUUACACGUUCAAAUUCUCUCAGUGUUUUGAGAACAAAACAUUUGGACCCCAGUAGCUUUUGCUAAAGGCUUACAGAGCUGCUAACAUCUAGAAAGUCUGUUAUUUGCAUGGGGCUAAUUAGAGCCUGUAAAAGAAUAAGAGAAAUUAAACCCAACAAUGCAGUUCAACUGUAGUGCUAAGAUCUUGCAAUUAAACUUUGCUGUUGGAUUAUGCAUAUUAGCACAUGAAUUACUCUCUAAGUGAUAAAUGUUGAACCAAAUAAUUAUCUAAAGCUUUUGGGCAGGAAUAAUCAAUAAGGUUAGGCUGAGAAAAGACAGUACUUUUUUUUUUAAAAAAAAGAAACAGUAGUACGGCUUGAUGAGAACACAACAAAUUGUUCCCUGUGAAUGAACUGACAGGUUAGCCCACAUUAUUAUUUUUUUUUAAUAUGGGUGGCACCUUAUUUUUUUCCCUUAUAAAACCGGGAAAAAAAAGUUAGAAUAAUGAAAACCUUGAGGCACGCCUACCAGACCUCCAGAGGCGGGUGGCAAAAUCCCACCGAGGUGCAAAUUUACGUGCUUCUCACUCCAGCAAAGAGGGUGGUGGGGAGAGCAGAGGCCGGCUGCGUGUCGGGGAGCGCGGCUGUGCCGGGAUGCUGCUGUCCCUUUGAUACCAGCACAGCCUUGCUGACAUUUCAGUCUCUCACUCUGCCGCGCCUGGGCUUGAGGGAGCGGCUGCCUCUGGAGGGGCUGCGCCACCGCAAUCCUCAUGCCUGGCCUCCGUCUUUGUGCACGGCCACGGUCACCUUGCACGGCUGCAGUCCUUGUGCCCAGCUGUGCUGGGAUGGCCAUGGACAGGUGCGAGGGGACAGAUUACAGAGGCCUGGCCGCCGGUGCAGGGAGACAGCCCCACACUUAUCUCACGAAGCGGCCCGGCACCACCCUGCCUCUCCCCGGGGCCUGAGGCAGCGCGGGCAUCUCUGCGCUGGGGCCGGAGCGGGCCCUGGCCAGCAGCAGUGCGGCGGCUUGCCAGCCCUCACGGCAAUUCCCUGAGCCCUCCACCGCUGCUCACUCGCCCACGAGGUUUUAUCCCAGCCCCCACGCCAGUGAAUGGCCAGGCCACUGCUCGCAGGAUCAGCCCCACUUCCUCGUGUCGGCCAGCCCCUCUCUGAAGCCGCUGCCCCAGAAGGCGCCGGUGCCGCUGUGCCUGAGCACAGGCCACAGAGGAAGCCGGCGGGAGAGGUUUGUGGCAAAUGGAGCGACAGCGAGGCUUGCCACAGGGCCACUGCAGCACCCCAGUGAGGAGAGCGAUUGCCCUCACGCUGUUAAAAUGCAAUUUGCCGAAAGGAAACCGCUGCGGCCGCACGCACCCAACUGCAGCGCCCAAGCAGCGCCGGAAUCGCCGCCACCACAAGAAAGCAGGCAGCCCCCAUUAGCAGGGAAAUCAAUCUUUUACAAGAGCCACAAUGGACCAUUAGCUUUUAACCAGGUUUUAGGGGUGGGGAACAGCCUUCCUGUUGGGCAAACCCUAAGAAGGAAAUAACCGGCUCCAAACAUCCAGGGGCGGUGGGGAGUUGAGAGCCGAGGUAGAGCUCUGAACUCCGCAGCUUGAGCUCGCUGCUACAAUGCAGCCAGCUCCUGCGCGUGGAUGAGCCGGUGGCGGAGCUGCAGGGAGCUGCCCUUAUUUAUUUGUUCCUACGGCACAGGCAGAGACAAGGGCCCUGUUUUAUGUUUCCCUGCAGGAAGGUGAUAAAGUGCCCGGGAGCUGCUGGAAACCAUUCUCCAAUAAAUUCAAAGGGGAAAGUCAUUUUUUUGUGCCUUGGAAGCUUGUGAGAGCUGAGGGAUGCUGGAAGGCAGUGAAAACUGAGGCAGCACAUCACACACUAGUGUGGCAGGAAGCCACCGGAGCAAAUUUUCUGGGCUGUCAUUCAGAAGCUCAUCACAGAGCAGUGAAUACAUUCCUUGUGGGAGCUCAGCAUCAGAAGAAGUUGCAAGCCCCUUCUCAGGAGGAAAGACGAGCACAAGCUGAAACACCCAAGCUGCAAUCAGUGGCAGAACACAACUCCAGGAAGGAUCAUGCCUCAUCAGCGGGUGUUGGCUUUCUAAGGCACCUCAAGUACCCUGCCAGGGAAGGGGCCACAAGGGGUGUGGGUGCCCCUUGCACCUUUGCAGUGCCAGCCAAGAACAGUCCACAGGACUCCUGAGGCUCAUAGGAGGAUGUACAUAAGAAAGGCAGAGGCCUACCAGCCUGGCAGGAGACAGAGGGAAAGGGUAAGAGCUGUUCUUUCCUAGAAGGGAGCUGUGGAGACUCAGGUCCCAUGGAGCCAGCAGCUGGGGCAGGAUGAGAGGUGUGGGUGAGAAGGAGGGAGAUGCAGACCGGCAGUACCUGUUUGUGCUACUUCACUGUGACUGCUCGUGCAACUCUUCAGACCUACCUUAGUGUUUCAUUUUUUAAUCAUCCAAGAUCUCAAGUAAACUUGCUUGUCUCACCCUAGCUAGAACCAGCCCUUCCAUCUAUGCCCUCUGUGCCAGCCAUACUCUGUCUCCUUCCCCAGAAAGCUGCUUUCCCUCUGCCAGCCUGUGAUGGCUGUCCACACCAGAAGUGCACACUGAUUCCAUCAGGCUGCCUUUCCCCACUUCAGCCACAUCUAAUAAAAUGUGGGCACAUAGUGGUGUGAUUUAGUUCAGCCUCCAAUAUUGUCACACUUCCAGGAUUACUGUGGCUUUCAUGGUGCUCCCAGGAGGUGCAUGAACACAUGCAAGGUGUCCUGAAGAACUUCACAAGCUUUGGACUGUUGAAUGGUCUGCUAAAAAGUGGAAUAUGACAAUCCCACCCUUGGGUGGGAUGGGAUCACAUUGUCUGUUGCUUGUUCCCAGCAAGGAUUGUGUUUGCCUGCAGUGCUGGUAGACCAGAUUUAUUCAUGUACCUUCUGUCUUGUGUUUCAUUUGCUUUGGCAACUCCCUAGCUCCUGGUCAUGGUGGGACACCACUGUGUGCCCAGCCACCUGCAUGACUGCCAGGACAGUGACAGCCCACCUUAUCUCUUGAGGGUAGCUCAGAUUACAGCCAAAGAAGAAAUAUUGUCUGCUCCAUUUGGUCUCCAGUUCAACACUUACAUGUGACAUGUUACUUGCUAGGUACUCCCACAUGACUCAUGACCACAAAAAUAAUAAAAAACUAAUGGGUAAGCUGGCCUACAAGGUGUUACUUGUUUGCUGUUAUUGUCCAGGGCUGCUGACUGCUGCUGAAGGAUUUCUACUGUGUAAUUAUAGCCCAGCCUUAGCAGCUCUGCCAGUCUGAACUCUGCUGCUGAGUGGUAUAUGUCCUUAUGGCUUCUAUGAACGUGACUCCAGAAGAUAAUUACAUGCACAGGAAGAAGACAGGAUAGAAACCUGAUUGGGAGGAUAAGGAGAACUUGCUUUGUGCCAUCACAGGAUUACAUGCAAGAGUGUAGUAUUGUCUGAAAGGAGAACAGUCAAGAUAUCAUCGGCUACUCCUGUUACUACACCCCAGAAUUCAUCAAGGGAUGAAGACAAAGAGACAGUUAAUUAUUCAUGACAUAUGCAUAAAAGGGGAAGAAACACACAGAGGGCUAUUUCAUCAUUUUUCAGCCUACCAAGGCUUAUUGGUUCAUAUUAAGCAGCUCUUCUUCUUUAAAAUCUAAUUUUGAAACUGGACAACACAGUCUUCCCCUCUGGCAUUGGUCAGGCCAGUGGUAAACUCAGAUUUCUGUUCUUCUUGCUUAAUUGGUACCUGUGAACCUAGGGUUUAUUUUGCCUGCUUGCUCCAGCUUGUCUCGGGCCUUAAUUGCGAGGUGUCUGGGGAAGGGCUUGUGCUGUAUAACGGGCCAGUGUUCUUCAAAUGGCUCAGCUUUUCCCCUUGGAAGGAGCUGAUUCAUCGACAUGGAAAUGUUUUGCACAAUGGUCUUCACUUCGCUUAAAUUUCCAGUUAAAAGAAUGACUCAUUUUGAUAUGGCCAAAAGUGUAUUCUCUUGUCUCAUGUUGCAGUGUUGUGCACCAGACCUGCCUGGUGAGCUGAGGGCUGUGCUUCCCCAGAGAAAGUGCAGGACUGUGCCUGAGCAUGGGGUGGUGGC